ACCGGAUUUCAAAGAAUAGACAAAAUCAAAGAUGCAGGAAGGCAGAGCAAGCAUCUGGAGGAGCUGUCUGCGAGGAUGAGGGGGGCGAAAAGGUGGACACUUUCUUUUAACCAGAAGCAACAUUCGAUCUGUUUGUCACCUUAGUCCUCAUUAUUGUAAGCAUUGUUACAGUAGAUUUUACCAUUGGUAAGGCUGCAGAAUUUGUGAAUUGCUCAUUAAUGCUGUCAACAGAUGCAUUGGUGUAGUCUACAAAAAGGUAGGAAAAUAGAAAAUAGAAAAUUGUUGGGGUGUCGUUUUGUUUGAAGUAAGUUUGCACUUUAUUUGAUUACUAUCAUGUUGAUGGGGGUCAUGAAGAUGUCUCACAAGUCUAUUUGGCACUAACAGCUUCUGAGGCUAGCUGGUGAUCUGGAUUCUGCAGUCGCAUCAAGGAAUUCGAUGUAGAGAUAAAAGUGGAAGAAGGCAAAAUUAAUCCUGAAUUCAACAAAUUGCUGACUGAGAAGAAACAAUUUAUGGUAUGUAAAGAAACAACCGAUGAUAUCCCCUUUAGAUUUGUGGUUUUCUUUGAAAGGUCUUCACAGUCCCUAACACGCAAAAAUUACACCUGCAGAUCACGGAGCGUAAUUCGUAUGUCGCAAAAAGAAGAACGUACACAAGUUUGAUAGGGAACAGGCAAGAAUCCCUCGACAAAGACUCACAUGCUGGGUCUGCCCAGGAUGCGGAUGUCUGUGUGGCCUCAAGUUGGUUAUCUCCUAGGCUUCAUGCGUUGCAUUUCUUCCUAUCAUGCUUCUCUUGUCAGAAGCAGAUACUGUAGAGAUUGAUUACCGAAAUUAGAUUAUUUGUAGUU
rnacentral:lncRNA from 1 species